rnacentral:lncRNA from 11 species
CUUGGAGUCUGCAAAGGAGGCAACUGAGAUGUGAUAGCUGUCUUCAGGGACUUGAAGACAAUGGGGCAAACUUUUUCUCUUAAAAGAAUUUAUACUGAAAAAAUUAGUUCAAAUUAUAAGAAAAAAUACCUUUGCUAUAUAGCAAGAAAAAAUUCCACAUGCUGCUGUUCGCCUCCGUUGUCUUGGCUCUUGGUGCCAUUCCAUGACGUGGACCUUCUAGUGACGACUUCACCCCUUGGACCUUGGACUGGAACUCCACUCGGCUUAUCUCUUCGCUCCCAAACUUGGCUUGGCGUCGUUCUUAUCUUUGUGGCUGUCUACUGUUGCUAACUAUUGGCUUUGUUUCUGACCCUGACGCAUUCUUCUUAUCCCAACUUCGGACCGGCUUGACUACAUUACAAUGUUCUGCUCCUUUAACUCCUG